GAGGGCGCGGCCGGAGGGUCGGGGUCGGGUCCUCGCGGGGUCGCUCGGCUGCCCGCGCCGCAGCCCUGCGUGGUGGGCAGAGGCAGGCGGCCCUGGGCCUGGGGGCCGCGCGCUGCCCAGCCAGCGGACGAAGGGCCUGGAAAGAGGGGGAGGGGUCGAGGGUGCGGCGGGGGAGGGGCUGGUCAUUUUCUGGGUCCCGCGGUGGGGCGCGCCUGCUGCCCGCGCGGCUCCUGCGGGGUUCCCACCCCGGGCUGCGCCUCCCGCCUCGGCGUGGUCCAGCCUUGGCCAGCGUAGCCCCUCGGAUGCUUAAGUGAACAGACAGCCAGACGCGUCCACCUUUGGACGACUUACCUCCCGGGCUCGACCCUCUCCGUGGAGGGGCGUUUCAGUUUGCUGUCGUAUAAGGUCAGCUUGGAAGGAGUGAUCACCGAGAGGCACCCAGGAUCUUGUUUAGUCAAUUAAUGAGUGAGGACCAUGGACUAAAAAUCGUAGUUGGAUAUUUUGAACAUUAAAAGACGGAAAGGGCAGAUGCUGGUAAUUCCUCAUUUUCUGGACCAGUCGUCAUUUGUGGGCUUUAUAAACGCACAGUUUAUUUUAAUCGUCCACCCGAGUCAUUUGGUUCAAUUUGGAGCACUUUGUACAAGUUUUACGGUUUGCUUGCUUUGGGUUUUCUUGAAUCACGUUAGUUGUAAGAGACCUUAAAGCCUUAAUUCCCACUUGGUUACCAAUUUCUCAUGGCCAGUGCUAGGACCUAAGUUGUGUACUUAGUUGGCUGCCUAUGUUUGGUAAUAAAUCAUGGGGAUUGUUGUCAACGGGACAGAUAGACCUCCACACAACGGUUUUUCGAUCUUUAUUUCUACACGUCUAUACUCUUCCUCAUACACUCCAAGGCAGUUCUUUUGGAUACAUUGUGUUUAUUUUUCAAGGACAUAGGUUCAGGGGAGAGAGAAACCAAUAUGUGUGUUGCAGAUGUGAAAUAUUGUUACAUAACACCAGUACAAUUUCAUUCUUGAACAUACAGAGUUAGGAAAUAAAAAGUGACAGAAUGUAAAUAAAAGGCACAUAUUGAAUGUUUACACUGGGGAAGAAACUGUAAUAACUUUAAUAUUGUAACCUGAUGGGGUGCAAACGUGAAAUCCUGCAACUAAACAUUUUACUCAGUAAAUUCUUAUUGCAGAUAAAAUAUUAAGUGGAAUUUGAUAAGUGAUCAUGUUUACUCUUUGAGUAGCUGGGAAACAAGUAGAAAUGUAAAGUCAUUGUUUUAUUUCAUCUGUAUAAAUAGCAGAGAGUAAUUUAUUUGACUGGUUGACUUAGCUGGCAUUUCAGUCUUCCUCGAUUUUGUUAAUCUUAUUGAAGUCAAUUUGUGUAGUUGAUAUUCAUUCUUUUUUAAAUUGUAUUGGCUUCGUUGUAAAGCACACAGGGACCCCAAAUUACCUCUCUUCGCCAGAGUCAGUUGUUAUUUCUGGAUAUGGUAUUUCAGGUUGUUUCAAAACAGAGCUCUUCGUCACAAACACAUUAAGCCAACAUGAUGUAUAGAAUUUGUGUAACACAGGAGUCCUGAAGUUUGUUUAUGUUUUCUUUGGUGAUAAAUGCUCAUCUUCAAUUUAGAAUUUUAACCACAGCUGAGUCCACACCGCUAGCAAUGUGAUAUGGGACAGUGCCUUUGCAGAGAAGUAAUCUCUUAAAAGCCACCCAGUCAGGUGCGGAGAUGUUCCCCAUCCAGCUCUGCUAAACGGAGGCAGAUGGCUCACUCUGUUGCACAGAGACUGGAGAGGGUGACUUGGAAGCCCAAAUCCCUAUUAAAAGGCAUGUACAGGAACAAAUUGAAAUUGAAAAAGUUGUGACUUGAUUACUAGUUGAAAUAUUAAAUGUAACAGUUUUCAGGUAACAGCUUUUAUAUUGGUAUUAAAAAUUUGAAAGAAGGCUUCGCUAGAUGCCAGUCAUUGCAGAAGUUGAAAUAUCCAAAAAGUGUAUAUAGCCAAUUGAAAACUUCCCAUCUUUCCAACAGACUUUGAAAGAAGAGAUUUUUCUCUCACUUUCCCAAGUAGAUUUGUCUGUAGUUUAUUUCUCAGAACAUUUUAGUGAUUUUGAUUUUUUUUUAUUAUCAAAAGGAAAUAGGAAUAUAGCUCAGCCAAAGCUGAGCCAUUUGCCCCAGGCUGUUUAGCUAGACAUCAGAACAACAACAAUACUGCCCUUACAUUCCCUGAUUACAGAGGUGUUUUUUUUAAAUUGCACUUCAUUGUAUGUUAUAAUGAAUAAAUGCCCUUGAAUGGCUCUGAAUAUUGGAGAUACAGUAAGAAAAGAAGCCCCGUAUCAAGGAAUCUUGGCUGAAUUUUGGGGUGGAGUGGGAAAAGGAUGAGUUCCUAACUCCUGAGUGAUUCUACAGUGGAGUUAGGUCAUGGAAGAUACAGCGUCUGUAACCUCUGGAACAGGAUUUGAUUCACAGUGAGAAGAAUGAAUGAGAUAUAAUUCAAAGGGUUGAGCCCCUAGGGAGAAAGAUGGCCUUCAAGUAAAGAAAGAUACCUUCCUUCCUUCUAGAAUGUUUUCCUUCAAGAAGCAUUCCAAUGAGCAGCCUGCCCUGUUCUCUAAGAGGUAGAUGCAAUGGAUGUCCUUAGCUUCUUGACACAUUUUGGAAAGUACUGUUUUAUGAAUAACCCCCACUACACUGCUUCCAUUACAGCUCGUUUGCCCAUGUUUGGUCUCAGAGAUGGAGACCCUCUGGUUAGCAUCCUUCUUAUGAGUCGAGUUAAUGUAUUCAUGGUCCAGCUUUUUAUUCUUCAGCUUAAAUCACAUGUCCUGGAACCUGGCCAUAGUACUUUUUCACCUACAUCAUGGUUCUGCUGCCUGGACCCCAAAAGACAAUGAUAUGGAAAGACUCCAGCUUAAUUAUGUUCUCUUUUGUCUUUCUAUAUAAAUAGCUUUUAGAAAUGUAGAUUAUUCUUUUUUUGAAAUUCAUUGUAGCAAGCAUGAAGACUACUACUGCGUUUUGAUUUGAAUAACAAAGGCAUGUUGAGGUCCAGUAUUUAAAAGUUAACUAUUCUUAAUUCUCUUGCUUGAUAAGGCAUUGGAUGAUUUCAUUUUUCAAAUUAUUGAACAGUUACUUUAUCAGUGGAUUGGUCAUGGAGAAAAAGUACUGUCAAAUGAAAAUAGCCAUUAUAUGUGAUUUUAAAAAUUAAUAGUAAAAAUAAUAAAAGCAGCUUAAAGAUAGUUUAUUUUGAAAAGAAAAAAACCUGCCACCCACAGACUUGCUUGGAACUCACUCGGAACUUUGUGAGUCUGUUUAUUAAAUAUGUUUAUUAAAGGUAAUUUGGGGGUAGCAAUAGGAGGAAAGUUGGUUUACCAUUCACAAGGAAGAAAACCAUAGCUAUAAGCUCUUAAUUUUAGUGUUAAAAUAUAGCUAAAAAGUUAAAAAAAAUUCCUUAAAGGCAAAUAAUGGGAUGAGGGGCCAUAAAACAAGACAACUGAGGACAACCUAAGUAGAAAAACGAACGCAGUUAAUUUAGAAUCUACGAAUUCAUUUUCAUCCACCUGGUGCUGAAGUUCGCCUCUAAGGAGAGAAGAGUGCUGCCUAUUCAGGUACAAGAAGCAGAGAUCUUACUUUCUAAGAACUUUUAACACAUUUACUACCUGCAAAGAGUGUUUAUAAGUUUCAGCGUACAUAGUAAAAUUGUCCUCUUGACGGCCUACUUUGCAAUGGCCGUUAUUAUUUGUAUCUAUAAGUAAUUAUUGUGAAAUAUAUAUUCUGCAAUUCUUGAAUUGGAGAUCAGUUUAAUACAUUCUGAGAAAUUGGUAAUUUUUAAAUUAUUUCUAGUGGAAAUAUUAGGUCCUCGGGAAAGUACAGCUGUACCUUAAACUCCCUCUGAAAAUUCUGAAUCCUAGCAACGUGUAUAUAAAAUUACACAUCCAUUGAACGUAAGCAAGUGAGAGCCAUGUGAGGACCCUUACGCAGCAGAGGAACACUGUCCUCUGAAAUCAUUUUGCAUGCCUUCUGUAGGAGGAUUGUAUCAUUCCUACAUCUAUUUACUCAAAGGCAACUUGAGUAAGGGUGACAAAUACUUUUUACUAGGCUGGACCAACUCAGCAGGUCUGUUCGUGCGCAUGUGGAGAAGCAGUGCUGCAGAAGAGGCGGGACAGCAGAUUCCACAUAUGAGUGAUAUCAUAUGGUAUUUUUCUUUCUCUCUCUUGCUUACUUGAGAAUGACUAUCUCUCGGUCCAUCCAGUAGGCAAUUUCUUAUAAGGCUAUCAAAGACCCAAAGGACAAGGUACAGGAAAAGAGCAGGAAGUGGGACACUGGGCGACAUGGAGCAGCCAAGAUGGUACUCCAGGUAGUCUUCAGAGGGUCCCAUGCCUUGGAAGUAAUCCCUAGGCUGUGGGCUCUGCGCCCCUCCGUUGCUGCGAAUGAUCUUUCAGGAGCCUUCAUUUUUGUGUCACCUCCUCAAGGUUCAGCGCCCUUGGCAGAAACAUUUGCAGAUGCCCCAGCUGUCAGGGGAAAAGAUCACCGGCCCCCUCCAGCUCCUACAGUGGGGUGUGCGACCCUGCCCCCCAUCUGUUUCAGGAUUCUGCCCACGCAGAGUAUUCUGGUGCUAAAUGACCAAAAGCAAGAUCCACGGGAGUGCUCUGACUAAACAGCUCUGUGAAGGGUGCCUAGCACUCCUAACUAGCCCGGUCCGGGCUCCUCCCCGCUCUCUGCUGCUUACCUGGAAGAUCUGCAUGGUCUGAGUGUUUGUGUGCCUCCCCUCGACAGUUCACGUGUUGAAACCCUAAUCCCGACAGUGUCGGUCUUGGGAGGUGGGGCCCCUCCUCCAGAGGUGACCAAGUGAGGUGAGCCCUCGUGACUGGUAUCUGUGCCCUUGCUGAAGGGGCCCCGCAGAGCUCCCUAGCCUUUCGGCCCAGGGCCUGCGAGGACACAGGGAGAGGCAUGCAGCCCGGAAGCCGUCCCUCACCCGACCGUGUGAGCGCCCAGCCUCGGACUCCCAGCCCCCAGAGCUCUGAGAAGUAAACAUCUCUUUCAUUAUAAACCACCUGAUCUGUGGUACUUCGCCAUAGCAACCCAAACAGACUAAGACAAGACCGCGUCACUUCUCCAGAACCCACCUGAAACAGAGCUAAUAUCUGAAAGCUUUAACUUCCUCUCGUUGCCUCCCUCUCCAGACCCUGGGCCAGAAGAAGCAAUGUGUUAUUGUUGGUGUCAAUGCCACACUUAACAAAGCAGAGCUGGUAAUAACUUUAAGACUUUGAGAAGAAGGAGGAUCCCCAGCAGAGAUAAUUGGUUUUAAACUACAGGGAAUUUAGUCCUAAGGGCUAUGCUAAAGAUAGGAGUAAUCUGCGCCUUGUAUUUCACGAAUAAAUGCAGAGAUCUCUGGACAUCAAGUGAUGUCAGAUCCUGAGGAGUGAGGCGUCACUGCUGGUGGUUUCCGCCUCCUGCUGGAGCACAUGUUCAGGCUCGAGUGCAGAACUAAGCCAAGGGUGUGAGAGGGAAGUGGGCAGUGGUCACAGGCCCAGUAGGGUUCACAGAGGGAUGCAGUCACUCUGCGGACCGACGAUUUUGAAGAAAAAACGCUGAUGGUGUAAGAAAUGCCGAAAACGCAAACACAUCAAAGAGGCCCGUAUUCCUGGGAGCAGAAAGGAAGGUCGUCGAGGACCUGCUGGUAGAAAACAGAACAGUCUUGGGACACUGUCCUUUCUCUUGCCCCUUUCCUUGCAGGUCACUUCGUUUAAAUUGCUUUUCAGCUGGAAAAAGUGAGUGAUAACCUUGCAAGGACUCUAAGUAGUGUUCCAGAAAUUCAGCUGUUUUCCAGUUCUAUUUCUACAGCGACUGAGGCGUGGUCUCAUUGUUACAGAUGCAGUAACUUCCCUCCUGAGGUGCAGAGUCUGGUGUUGACAUCACAGUGCUCUUCGAGAUCAAGUGUUUUAGUAGAAUUUAACUCUUUGUCAGGUGAUUUAAUGAAAGCUGUUUCAGAUUGCUAAUUAUUCAACAAAAUCCAUUUCCUCUUCUUCCCUGGGCACAAAGGUUGACUGUGCUUCCCAGCUGCCCUUGCAGUUAGGUUGGGUCACGUGACUGAGUUCCAGCCAGUGUUGCCACUUCCAGGGCUGAAAUCUCAAAGGCAUGCUGACUGAGAUGGAAGUGACAGAGGGCCGACCAUGGGACUUAAGUAUCUGCAGAGUUGGUAUCUGUGGCUGGUCCUGAACCAGUCCCCCAUGGACACCAAGGGACGACUGUGUUAGGUUCAAGUACAUAAUGAAGAAAAGAUCAUUGUAAGGGAGUCUGUAUAAAUGACAUGCAAGUACAUCUCACAGUAGGUAUAAAAUAAAUACUUGAUUUCUCAUCAAGAAGUGAACCUCCCUCCCAAGCUCCAGACUGACAUUUCAGUUGUCCAAGGGACAUUUCUAAACAGCUUUCCUACAGGAACAUCUGCAGAGCAUUUCCAAGCUGAGAUUAUGUAUAUGUAUGUGUGUAAGUAAAUGCUUUGAGCACAGUGGACACUCUAUUUUUAAAGUCCGUUUGAAACACAUGACUUUCAUCUUCAGUGUCGCGUAAACGGCAGUAGGGUGCUUGGGAAGCAGGGAUUGGUAAGGCACUUCUCUAUUCUCUCCAACAUGAGGGAAACAAAAAUAAAGUCUUAUUUCUGUGACCAUCACACAGAAGCUUUUCAACUAUAAAGUUUUCAUUUUAGACUCCCACUCAGGAAUCGUCUUUUACUUUAGGCUCCUACUCUGGGAUUGGAUCAUCUUAAAGGACAGUUUGUAGGGAGAUGGGGUUACAGAGCUCCCUAAUCUCGUGUCUGUGCCAGCUUUCGUGAAGGUCCACAAUAUUUAUUCCUUUGGGUUUUACAUUCAUCAAAAAGCAGGAAAGAAUGAGAUGGCAACACUCAAAGACCUGAAGCCAUAAAAUUUCUGUAAGAAAAUACAGGGGGUAAACUCCUUGACAUUGGUCUCGGGAGUGAUUUUUUUUUUUUGGAUUUGACACCAAAAGCAAAGGCAACAAAAUAAAAAAUAAACAAAUGAGACUACGUCAAAUUAAAAAGCUGCACAACAAAGGAAACUGUCAACAAAAUGGAAAAAGCAACCUACAGAAUGUGAGAGAUCUGCAAAUCACGUAUCUGACAAGGGGUUAAAAUUCAAAAUUUAUAACCAACAAUUCAUGUGACUCAAUAAUAACAGCAACAAAAAGAAUCUGAUUAAAAGAAUGAGUAGAAGAACUGAAUGGACAUUUUUUUCUAAAGAAGACAUGCAGAUGGGCCAACAGGUACAUGAAAAGGCACUCAACAUCCCCAGUCACCUGGGAAACGCACAGCGAAACCCAGUGAGCUGUCAUCUCACACCUGUUAGAAUGUCUGUUACUGAAAAGACAAGAGUUAACAAGUAUUGGCAAGGAUUUGGAGAAGCUGGACCCUUCGUGCACUGCUGGUGGGGAUAUACAUUGGUGCAGCCACUGUGGAAAACAGUAUGGAGCUUCCACAAAAGAUUAAAAAUAGAGUUACUGUGUGAUCCAGCAAUUCCACUCCUGGGUAUAUACCUGCAGGUGAAAAAUCACUAUCGAAAUGAUAUCUGCAUGUUCAUUGCAGCAUUGUUUCCCAAAGCUAAGGUAUGGAAACAAUCCAAGUGUGCAUUGAUGGAUGAUGAAUAAAGAAAAUGUGAGAUACUAAAAAAAAGGAAAUUCUGCAAUUUAUAACAACGUGAACUGACCUUGAGGGCAUUAUCCUAAGUGAAAUAAGUCAGAGAAAGACGAAUCCUGUAUGAUUCUGACAUACAGGUGGAAUCUUAAAAAAACUGAACUCAUAGGUACAGAGAACAGAUUGAUGUUGCCAGAGGUGGGGGGUGGGGACAUAAUGCACAGCAUGGUGACUAAAAUUGGUAACACUGUAUUGUGUAUUAGAAAGUUGCUAAGAGAGUAGGUCUUAAAAGUUCUCAUCACAAGACAAAUGUAACUGUUUGUGGUGAUGGAUGUUAACUAAGAGUAUUGUAAUCAUUUUGCAGGAUACACAUAAAUCAUCAUGUUCUGCACCUUAAACCAACACAAUGUUAUAUGUCAGUUAUAUCUCAAUAAAACUGGGGAAAUCUUUAAAUUUUUUAAAAAAGAAAAGAUGAGAUAGUGAAGCUCAUCUGUUUUACCUG